AUUCUACUCCCUUCGUUUCGAAUUACUUGUCGUAGGUAUGGAUGUAUCUAGAUGUAUUUUAGUUCUAGAUAUAUCCAUCUCUGCGACGAGUAAUUUGGAACGAAGGGAGUAAUUU
rfam:Triticum aestivum genome assembly, contig: Triticum_aestivum_CS42_TGACv1_scaffold_487094_6AS